rnacentral:lncRNA from 1 species
UGUGUUGCAAAGCCUUUAAUUAGAAUGUUUGUAUUUUUUACAUCAUGCAUAACUUCACAUUUGUGAUUAAUUAGUAAUUAUUUCAAUACUUGUAAGCUCAUCUGCCUCAGAUUUAAUCAUAAUACAUGAAUUAAAUUAAUCAAAUUAAGGAACAGCAAUUUAGAAAGAAACACACUUUAAGAAAUCAAAAUUCUCAAUUCAGGCAGUCUGUUUCUAUCAUUUGGUAUUCUACUCCUUUAAAAAUUUCAUAUUGCCCAACAAAAAGUGGUUAUUUUUACUGUUUUUGGAGAUGACUGAACAGAUGAAGGCAUCAGAUGCCUUCAUCAGCUGGUAUUUUGCCUAAGAUCUAUUUAAGAUAACCUUUUCUUAUAUUUUUUACUUAAUAUUGGGCAUAAUCGUAUCAUUCAAGAUUAAGUCUGGGUUAUUUCUUUGAUAAGAACUGAAUGUGGCCGGGCGCAGUGGCUCACGCCUGUAAUCCCAGCACUUUGGGAGGCCGAGGUGGGUGGAUCACAAGUCAGGAGAUCGAGACCAUCCUGGCUAACACGGUGAAACCCUGUCUCUACUAAAAAAAUACAAAAAAUUAGCCGGGCGUGGUGGCGGGUGCCUGUAGUCCCAGCUACUUGGGAGGCUGAGGCAGGAGAAUGGCAUGAACCCGGAGGCAGAGCUUGCAGUGAGCCGAGAUUUCGCCACUGCACUCCAGCCUGGGCUACAGAGUGAGACUCUGUCUC